CCUACGGGGGGCUGCAGUGAGGAAUAUUGGUCAAUGGGCGAGAGCCUGAACCAGCCAAGUCGCGUGAAGGAUGACUGUCUUAUGGAUUGUAAACUUCUUUUGUAGGGGAGUAAAGAGGGGUACGUGUGCCUCAGUGAAUGUACCCUACGAAUAAGCAUCGGCUAACUCCGUGCCAGCAGCCGCGGUAAUACGGAGGAUGCGAGCGUUAUCCGGAUUUAUUGGGUUUAAAGGGUGCGUAGGCGGCCUGUUAAGUCAGCGGUGAAAUCUAGGAGCUUAACUCCUAAAUUGCCAUUGAUACUGGCGGGCUUGAGUGUAGAUGAGGUAGGCGGAAUGCGUGGUGUAGCGGUGGAAUGCAGAGAUAUCACGCAGAACUCCGAUUGCGAAGGUAGCUUACUAAGGUACAACUGACGCUGAAGCACGAAAGCGUGGGUAUCAAACAGGAUUAGAUACCCUGGUAGUC
rnacentral:rRNA from 1 species